GUUUAGCUCAGCUGGUUAGAGCGCAAGACUGUUAAUCUUGAGGUCAUGGGUUCGAUCCCCAUAAU
rnacentral:tRNA from 1 species